rnacentral:rRNA from 1 species
UACGUAGGGGGCAAGCGUUGUCCGGAAUUAUUGGGCGUAAAGAGCGUGUAGGCGGUCCGGUAAGUCAGCUGUGAAAGUCAAGGGCUCAACCCUUGAAAGCCGGUUGAUACUGUCGGGCUAGAGUCCGGAAGAGGCGAGUGGAAUUCCCGGUGUAGCGGUGAAAUGCGCAGAUAUCGGGAGGAACACCAAUGGCGAAGGCAGCUCGCUGGGACGGUACUGACGCUGAGACGCGAAAGCGGGGGGAGCAAACAGG